rnacentral:lncRNA from 1 species
UGGAAAAAUGAUGGAAUACAAGGCAAAUGCAUCAGAAAUUGAAGAAUGAAGGCACAUGGACAGCUACAAAGGAGUUGAAUUAGCAAAAGAGGAAUGAUUGCCUUUUGUUAAAGGCAAGACACAUGAUAAAAGAGCAUGUAAACUAGCUGUUUUUGCAUCAUUUUGGUCUUUGCUUGUAUUGUUUAUUGAAGCCACUUGAGUGAUUCUUUGCUUUGGAGCUUCUAUAAAUAGGGAGUGAAGGGAAGAACACUACACAUUACACUACAUCAAAAACACAAUCAGCCACACCACCCAUUCUCCAUCCAUUCUUUUAGCCAAACCCAUCUACACAUUCAUACACUACGUCACAAACACAUUUUCAGCCAUCUUUCUCUCUUUUGCCACACCCCCCCCAUCCAUCAUAAACACCACCAUACCAUCUCCCAUCCAUUCCUCCAUACAAAUACCAUCCAAACCUGUCCCCAAAACCUUUUGCCGCAGCAAAGAGGAAGGAGGAGAAGCCUUGGACGUGAAUGCCAUUCAAGUUAGGAUCGUUGGAGCGUUUAGGUGUUUUCUUUCUUUUGAUUUCAAUGUUUAAAUUCUAUACUCUUUGUUUUGUACGUAUGAGGAACUAAACCCCCCCUUGGCUAGGGGGGGAUUCGAAACCAUGUUUAUGCUUGCUAUAUGAUUUGAUUACUUUCAAUUGCGUUUCAUAAGUUGUGAAUUCAAUUUACUUAUCUACAUGAAUUAAAACUGAUUUGUGUGUGUUGGUUGAAAGUGCACGCUUAAUUUUCAUGCAUAAGUUUGAUGCUAGGAUAUAAGGGAAUUUCACCUAAUCAUUAUGAACUUAUAUUCAAAAGUAGUAAAGGUUGUUGAUCACAAUCGUGUUAAGUAAAUUCUUGGCAGAAGUUUCAUGCAAUUCAUAGUAACGAGUGCCUCGCCAAUGCUUAUGAUUUUCAUAGAACUUAAUGAUCUUUGCUUCUAUCUUUGUUAUGCAAUUCAUGUAGGGAACUUGUGAGGAAUGCUUUGGGUUGUCGUAUGCAAUUCAUCCAAUUCGAUAACUUUAGGAAAAUCUGAGGGUUAAUUAGUGCAAUUCACGGUUAAUUUGGGGCGUUGGGAAUUCAUGGUUUAUUGAGAAGCAAUUGGAAAUCGUUUUGUAUGCAAGUAUGACAUGUGUGGAGAAGAACCCCCUAGCUAGCUUUCCAUCCAUUCACUUUUAUCAAAUUCGUUUUAGAAUCUGUUCAAUUUACAAAGUUUGUUCUUGUUUUCAAUUUUCGUCAAAACUCAAUCCCCAUUUAUUUUGAAGUGUUAGAUUUGUUGGAAAUGUGCCCUAAAACCAAUCAUAUGUUGAUACUUUACGGACAUUUCACAUGUUAAACUAAUCUAGUUUAAUAUCAAGGGCAAAGAUUAUUGUUUGAGCCCUCUCAUAUAAAUGUUAUAUGCUUAAACGAUAAGUCCAAGGAAUAUGUGAUUGGGAGAAUGCGAUCUAAAGAAGUUAGAUUCAAGAGACCAUUCUUU